UUAUUUAUUUCUCAUCGACAUCAUCAUCAUCAACAUCGAAGGCGCUACAACUAUUCUCUGGAUAAAAUUGACUAGUGAUUAAAUAAAAUAAGGAGGAAGGGGCAAAUGAGCGGCGGGAACAUCGAUGUGAUCAACGACACCCAUCACAGAUCUGCAACACCAGAGGAACUGCAGAUGCGUUGCCGGCCUUUAAGGAAAUGGUUCAAAAGCUUCGUAUAAUGAUAUUUGUCGACCUUGAUACUAGCGGCCAGUGUGCAGGGAACAGUAGCGACGCGUGAACUCGCAUUGUCCAACAACCCUGACGCCGCACCUUACCUCGCUUCGCCUCACUACUGAUUCAUUCAUUCAUCGUCUAGGCACGUAUUCUUGUACUAUUAUAAAUUAGAGUCUAUUGAUGUA